GUGCACCAGGCGAGAAACCUCCGCAAUACACGAAAGUGUGACGGGGCCAUCCCGAGUGCCGUCCGCUGAGGACGGCUUUUCCCCAGUGUACAUAGCUGGGGGAAUAAGGAGAGGGCAAGCCUGGUGUCAGCCGCCGCGGUAAUACCAGCUCUCCGAGUGGUGGGGACGCUUAUUGGGCCUAAAGCAUCCGUAGCCGGCUGGGCAAGUCCUCCGUUAAAUCCAACGAUUCAAUCGUUGGGGCUGCGGGGGAUACUGUCCGAGCGUUGGGGGCGGGAGAGGCCGACGGUA
rnacentral:rRNA from 1 species